GACGAACGCUGGCGGCGUGCUUAACGCAUGCAAGUCGAACGGUAAGGCCCUUCGGGGUACACGAGUGGCGAACGGGUGAGUAACACGUGGGUGAUCUGCCCUGCACUUCGGGAUAAGCCUGGGAAACUGGGUCUAAUACCGGAUAGGACUCCGGACUGCAUGGUCUGGGGUGGAAAGCUUUUGCGGUGUGGGAUGGGCCCGCGGCCUAUCAGCUUGUUGGGGGGGUGAUGGCCUACCAAGGCGACGACGGGUAGCCGGCCUGGGAGGGUGACCGGCCACACUGGGACUGAGAUACGGCCCAGACUCCUACGGGAGGCAGCAGUGGGGAAUAUUGCACAAUGGGCGCAAGCCUGAUGCAGCGACGCCGCGUGAGGGAUGACGGCCUUCGGGUUGUAAACCUCUUUCAGCAUCGACGAAGCGAAAGUGACGGUAGGUGCAGAAGAAGGACCGGCCAACUACGUGCCAGCCGCCGCAGUAA
rnacentral:rRNA from 1 species